rnacentral:rRNA from 1 species
UACGGGGGGGGCAAGCGUUGUUCGGAAUUACUGGGCGUAAAGGGCUCGUAGGCGGCCAACUAAGUCAGACGUGAAAUCCCUCGGCUUAACCGGGGAACUGCAUCUGAUACUGGAUGGCUUGGAUUUGGGAGAGGGAUGCGGAAUUCCAGGUGUAGCGGUGAAAUGCGUAGAUAUCUGGAGGAACACCGGUGGCGAAGGCGGCAUCCUGGACCAAUAUUGACGCUGAGGAGCGAAAGCCAGGGGAGCAAACGGG